rnacentral:rRNA from 1 species
UACGUAGGUGGCAAGCGUUGUCCGGAUUUACUGGGCGUAAAGAGCGCGCAGGCGGUCGUUCAAGUCGCGUGUGAAAGCCCCCGGCUCAACUGGGGAGGGUCACGCGAUACUGAUCGACUCGAAGGCAGGAGAGGGUAGUGGAAUUCCCGGUGUAGUGGUGAAAUGCGUAGAUAUCGGGAAGAACACCCGUGGCGAAGGCGGCUCUCUGGGACGGUACUGACGCUGAGACGCGAAAGCGUGGGGAGCGAACAGG